rnacentral:lncRNA from 1 species
UUUUCAUUAAAUAAUUCCAUUUGAAAUACAAUUUCAUUUAACAUACAUUUUAAAUUUUGACUUGUUAAAGUACAGUAAUUGUUAAAAUUUAUAUUCUAUAGAUUUUCCUAAAUUUUCCUUGACUAACUAGAGUAAAGUAUAUAAUCACCAAAAUGUUAGUUUGUGAAAUAGAUCACAAUUAAGGGAUAAGUUUGUUAAGUUCUCCAUAAGACCUCUAUUUUUAUCUUAAUUUUUAUGAAUUUGAUCUAAUGACCAUAACCACAAUUUAUCAUUUAAAAUAAUGAAUAGUUUGGAAACAUAUAUUUUUUUUUAAUUACAUAUCAGAGGACUGUUUACGUAUCAAAAUUAUCAUAAAUUUCAUUUUUCCACCAAAUUUAUUUAAAAGAGGCAAAUUUCUAUUAGUUUUUUAGGUUGACUUUUUGUAAUAUGCAAUUCAUCAACAAAAACAAUCGUACAUGUAGGCAUCAGAAAAACAGAAUGUUUGGUUCAAAACUUUAAAUAUUCCAUUUUAAAAGAUAAGUUUUUGUUUGGAAUGAAGAACAUUUUGUUAACUUUCACCAAGAUUUUUUAAGGGGCCUAUUUGGGGGUAAAUGUCAACAUUUUAUAAAAGAAAAGCUGAACAAAAAAUGUUUUAUUUAACUUUCUCACAUUGUUAUGCAUUUAACUGAAACAAUUUUCAUCUAGAAUUAUAAUGGACGAAAAUAAUAAAAUAUUAAGGUGGUGUAUUGGCCUUUUAAUAAAAAAUUCAUAAAGAUUAAGUAGGGGGAAAUGAUUUUUUUGUUAAAUAUGCUAAAACUUAAAGAUACCUUUUUUGGUGGGAAAUUAUCUUAAUCAGUUGCUUUCAAUAAAAAAAAUAGUGAUCCAUGGUUCUAAUUUUUUUCUGCUAUUUCACAAAAAAAACAACGUAAAUUUUGAUUAAUUUACAGAUAAAUCCAGUUUAAUUAUGUAACACUAGUAGCUGUCAACACCUUUUACAGCAGUUAUCUCCCCUUGCAAAAAUUAGAAUUUCAGGAAAGACCUUGAAUCAGAGAGAUAAUUCUUUUAAUCAGUUAUCUGCUUUUUAAAGUCAAUAUUCAUCAAUGUAUUUUAAGCAUUUACCUGAAACGGAUUAGAAAUAAUUUAUUUAAUUCAGAAGCUUAGAAUAUAUUUAUGAAAAUGGUUGACACAAACAUUCUGAUGAUUUUUUUUCCCUUAACCUAUGUCUAGCUCCUUAAUGCAUGCAUGCAUAUCUGCAGAUUUGUAAUUUCAGCUGGAAUAUGUACUUUUAACUUGAAAUAAUCAAAUAUUUAUACUUUUUAUCCAGAGCUAAGUUAUAUGUUGUGUACAGAGUUUAUUAAAUUUGUUAUUCAGCCC